rnacentral:rRNA from 1 species
AUGGCGACCGUCGGGGCGGCGCUCGGGGGCAUGCUCGCCUCAGCCGUCAUCAAGGUGGUGAUAGGACAGAUCAGUUCUACCAUCGCUGGGGAGAUCAACCUGCAUAAGAACAUAAAGAAGGAUCUGGAGAAGAUGAAGAUGACGCUCGAGUCAGUGGAGGCCGUGCUCAGCGACGCUGAGAGGCGUUCUAUCACCGAUAACUCGGCGCUUCUGUGGCUGAAGCGGCUCAAAGACGCCAUGAACGACAUCUCCGACAUGCUUCAAGAUUUUGAAGCUGACACCAACUUCAACCUGUUGGCAAGUACGAUGAAGAAGAUUAAGAUGCCACACAAGAUGAAGGAGAUGCAAAAGCGCCUACAGAAGAUAACAUAUGACCGUAACAAUUAUCGUGUUCUGCCAGAAGCUCGCAGCGAGGAGCAGCUAGUUCGUGAUAUCCGGGAAACAGCAGGGAAUGCGGAGGAAGCAGAAAUCAUCGGGAGGAGUGAAGAAAAACUGAAAAUCUUGGCUUGUUUAUCUGAGAACAGCACUCAAGGCACCACCAUCUUUCCCAUAUGGGGCUUUGGAGGCAUUGGAAAGACCACCUUGGCAAGAUCGGUUUUCAACAAUUCCCAGUUCAAAGAAUACUAUCGGGUGUGGGUCUAUGUGUCCCAGACAUUUGACUUGAAAAAAAUUGGCAACAUUAUAAUAUCGCAGCUGUCACAGCAGAGCCAAAUAUCUGAUUUACAUAGUAUCCAUACUCGUCUUCAAGAGUUGUUUACUGGUAAGAGGAUCCUGAUCAUUUUGGAUGACCUGUGGGAGAAGCAUCCUUCUCAACUAGAACAAUUGAAGGCUAUGCUGAAGCAGGGUGAGGGGAGCAAGGUGAUGGUUGUGGUAACCACACGCGAAGAAAACAUUGCAAAGGAAAUUGGUACUGUUGCUCCAUACGAAUUAUCUCCCUUCACCGAUGAAAUGUGCUGGGAUAUUAUUAAGCAAAAAUGCAACUUUGAGGCUUGUCCUGACAAAGAGCGUUUGGAGCCGAUUGGGAAGGAAAUUGCAAAGAAGUGUGGAGGUGUGCCUUUAGCUGCUCAAUCACUUGGACACAUGUUGAAAUUCAUGCCGUGUGAAAUGUGGGAUUCGGUUAGAACCAAUCAUAUUUGGGAACUGUCUAUUUCCAAAGAUACACCAAAUACACAUGAAGUGCUGGCAUCCUUGCUGUUAAGCUACAACUUCAUGCCUCCACGCUUGAAGCUAUGCUUUGGUUAUAGUGCAAUCUUUCCAAAAGGUCAUGAUAUUAUUGAAGAUGAUCUAAUUUAUCAAUGGAUUGCUCUUGGAUUCAUAGAGCCAUCUAGUGCGUUCUCUACCUGGCAUGUCGGUCAAAAUUAUUUUAGGAAGCUUCUGGAGAUGUCUUUUCUUCAACAUUCAAAGGCUGACAAUAGAACUCUCAAAAGAAAACAUGUUCCAAGGUUCACUAUGCAUGACCUGGUGCAUGACCUUGCAAGAUCGGUCAUGGCUGAUGAAUUUGACUUGGAGGGCCCGAACUGCCGUUAUGCAUGGCGGACUCGCGCAGAUUUUAAGCCAUUAAAGCCAUCCACGACUUCACCUGCAAAGCUAAGGGCGCUGCAUAUUAUGGACCAUACCUACACAAGAAUUCAGUUCCAUCAUGAUGUAGAUUCACCAGCUAAGUACAUCCAUGUCUUAGAUUUAAGCACAGACUGUUCCCAUGAGUUGCCAGAUUCAAUUGGUCAAUUUAAGCAGUUGAGGUAUCUUAGGGCUCCAUCAUUUCAGGGUAGAAUGAAUCCAAGGUUUUUUCGUAUGCUCUCAAAGUUGAAUUAUCUCAACCUUCAUUGCUGUCAUGAGCUCUCAGCAUUGCCAGAGUCGAUUGGCGAAAUGAAAUGUCUGAUGCAUCUUGACUUAUCACGUUGUAUACACCUACAAGAACUCCCAUUGUCAUUUGGGAAUCUCAGAGAGUUGCUAUAUCUGGAUUUGUCAAACUGUAAUGGUCUUUUAGGGAUACCCCAAGCUUUGGGUGGCCUUAACAAACUCCAACAUUUGGACUUAUCAUCAUGCAAAAAUCUCAGAGGGCUGCCAGACGUCAUCCGCAAGCUCACUGAACUCUGCUAUUUGAAUCUAUCAGGGUCCAUGCAUCAUAUCUUUGACAGUUCAUCAACAGAUCAAGCUGAGAGUUUCAUUCACUAUAUCUGCAUGCUUCCCAAUAUGAAGCAGCUGGACUUGUCUUCCCAAGGUGAAUAUUCUCUUAGUAUACCAGAUAGUGCUAGCCGCCUCAGCAAGUUGGUCCUGAAUUGGUGCCGCCAUGUUACUAGGAUUCCAGAAUGUGUGGCUAAAAUGGAUAGGCAAAGCCUUUUUGGCUUGUUGCCGGAAUUUUUUGUAUAUUCAGAUGCUACUGAAUCUAACAGCAACCUUGGGUUGCUUGAGCAUAUAAAUCCUGAACAGCUGUGUAUCAGGAUGCUUGGAAAUGUGAGGUUCUUGGAAGAGGCACGCAUUAUAAAUCUGCGUAAGAAACAGAGAAUUGGGGAACUGAGAUUAGGGUGGCUCGAAGAUGCAAAGAGAUACGUGGACGACAUGGAGUUGCUGAGGGAGCUAGUGCCACCAACCACUCUGCAGAGGUUUGAGAUAUCUGGUUAUAGUAGUGUGAGCUUUCCGGACUGGCUAAUGAGUAUCAGAAAUUAUCUCCCUAAUCUUGUGCGCGUGGAGAUGUCUAAUUUGCCAAACUGUAACAGUCUACCACCCCUUGGCCAUCUACCAAAUCUCCGAGAGCUUAUUCUGGGUGCGAUGAAAAGCCUGGAAGAAUGGAACAUAGCAUACUCGAAUGGCGAGGAUAGUCCGGAUGAGCUCAUGUUCCCUAAGCUUGAGGAAGUGAUUAUAUAUAAUUGCCCCAAGUUGAGGAUAAAACCACACCUUCCUAGAGCUUCCUCUUGGAGUAUAACAAGAAGUGAUAGUGUGCUUAUCUCAUGGGGAGAGAGCGUGUCACACACCGGUGCUUCCUCAUCUUCUUCUCCAGUAUCCACUACUCUGGAAGUUACAGGCAGCAAGUUGCCUCUGCAACAGUGGAGUUUGCUUCACCACCUACCUGCCCAUAGUGAUUUGGAUAUCUAUGGUUGCAGUGAUUUAGCAAUCUCACCAGAGAUCAUCCAGGCCCUCCACUCCCUCAAAUCACUGAAACUGGAUAUACGAGACUCAGACCAUGCAGAACUGAUCGAGUGGUUCACAUACCUCACGUAUCUUCAGCAGCUGUCAUUACUGAACUACAACAAGCUAGAGGAAUUGCCCGGUAAGAUGAGGCAACUCACACAACUCCAAUCAUUAACACUGUUAGAAUGCAGAAGUAUGACAUCAUUGCCAGAAUGGUUAGGAGAACUCACCUCUCUCACAAAACUUGAAAUUGUGUGUUGCCCUGGCAUCACGACUUUGCCACACAGCAUACAACAGCUCACAAACCUCCAACAAUUGGAAAUUCGUGACUGCCAUCGAUUAAGCAUGUGGUGUGAAGCAGAGGAAAACAAGAUCAAGCUUGCUCAUAUAGGACAAAUGCGUACUGAAGACAAAGCCACUCCGAGAGAGCCAGGGGAGCAAGCAGAGCCAGCAGAGCCGCAACAUAGUGGCCGUAUGAGAUUCUGA